GGGGAAACGUUAUAGGCUCCAUGGUAAAGGGGGUCAGGACAGCACCUCUCCCAAAGUGGGAGCCAAGAUGUGAAUUUUCCAAUACAGUUGAAAAAAGGCCCCAUUCAUAUGUUUAGAUAUUACCGGUUCAUGAAUGUCUCGCGGAAAGGAAAGAAGAGACUAUUGUGCAGAAUGGCUUUAAGACCAAGGAUGGAUGACGGGGGAUGGAUCUGAUUGAGCAUGUGGUGUGUAAAGUCUCUGUUCUAAACAUGUAAUGACAAAUAUGUUCAAUGCUAAUAAAAUUUCAUUUACAAGAGCCACA